rnacentral:rRNA from 1 species
AUUGAACGCUGGCGGCAGGCCUAACACAUGCAAGUCGAACGGUAACAGGAAACAGCUUGCUGUUUCGCUGACGAGUGGCGGACGGGUGAGUAAUGUCUGGGAAACUGCCUGAUGGAGGGGGAUAACUACUGGAAACGGUAGCUAAUACCGCAUAACGUCGCAAGACCAAAGAGGGGGACCUUCGGGCCUCUUGCCAUCGGAUGUGCCCAGAUGGAAUUAGCUAGUAGGUGGGGUAACGGCUCACCUAGGCGACGAUCCCUAGCUGGUCUGAGAGGAUGACCAGCCACACUGGAACUGAGACACGGUCCAGACUCCUACGGGAGGCAGCAGUGGGGAAUAUUGCACAAUGGGCGCAAGCCUGAUGCAGCCGUGCCGCGUGUAUGAAGAAGGCCUUCGGGUUGUAAAGUACUUUCAGCGGGGAGGAAGGGAGUAAAGUUAAUACCUUUGCUCAUUGACGUUACCCGCAGAAGAAGCACCGGCUAACUCCGUGCCAGCCGCCGCCGUAA